rnacentral:tRNA from 1 species
AAGGCUUUAUCUUAAUAAAAGUAUUUGAUUUGCAAUCAGAAGAUGAGGAUUAGUAAUCUUCAAGUCUUA